CCUACGGGUGGCAGCAGUGGGGAAUAUUGGACAAUGGGCGAAAGCCUGAUCCAGCCAUGCCGCAUGUGUGAAGAAGGCCUUCGGGUUGUAAAGCACUUUCAGUGGGGAAGAAAGCCUUGGGGCUAAUACCCUCGAGGAAGGACAUCACCCACAGAAGAAGCACCGGCUAACUCCGUGCCAGCAGCCGCGGUAAUACGGAGGGUGCGAGCGUUAAUCGGAAUUACUGGGCGUAAAGCGCGCGUAGGCGGUCUGAUAAGCCGGUUGUGAAAGCCCCGGGCUCAACCUGGGAACGGCAUCCGGAACUGUCAGGCUAGAGUGCAGGAGAGGAAGGUAGAAUUCCCGGUGUAGCGGUGAAAUGCGUAGAGAUCGGGAGGAAUACCAGUGGCGAAGGCGGCCUUCUGGACUGACACUGACGCUGAGGUGCGAAAGCGUGGGUAGCAAACAGGAUUAGAUACCCCUGUAGUC
rnacentral:rRNA from 1 species